rnacentral:rRNA from 1 species
AGAGUUUGAUCCUGGCUCAGAACGAACGCUGGCGGCAGGCUUAACACAUGCAAGUCGAACGAAGGCUCCAGCUUGCUGGAUGUCCUUAGUGGCGCACGGGUGAGUAACGCGUGGGAACCAACCCAAGAGUGAGGAAUAACUACUGGAAACGGUAGCUAAUACCGCAUACGCCCUUUGGGGGAAAGGCUUCGGCCGCUCCUGGACGGUCCCGCGUCUGAUUAGCUUGUUGGUGAGGUAAUGGCUCACCAAGGCGACGAUCAGUAGCUGGUCUGAGAGGAUGAUCAGCCACACUGGAACUGAGACACGGUCCAGACUCCUACGGGAGGCAGCAGUGGGGAAUAUUGGACAAUGGGGGAAACCCUGAUCCAGCCAUGCCGCGUGAGUGAAGAAGGCCCUAGGGUUGUAAAGCUCUUUCAACGGUGAAGAUGAUGACGGUAGCCGUAGAAGAAGCCCCGGCUAACUCCGUGCCAGCAGCCGCGGUAAUACGGAGGGGGCAAGCGUUGUUCGGAAUUACUGGGCGUAAAGCGCGCGUAGGUGGUUCAGUAAGUUGGGUGUGAAAUCCCCGGGCUUAACCUGGGAACUGCAUUCAAAACUGCUGGACUAGAGUACGAUAGAGGGGGGUAGAAUUUCAGGUGUAGCGGUGAAAUGCGUAGAGAUCUGAAGGAAUACCGGUGGCGAAGGCGGCCCCCUGGAUUGAUACUGACACUGAGGUGCGAAAGCGUGGGUAGCAAACAGGAUUAGAUACCCUGGUAGUCCACGCCGUAAACGAUGUCAACUAGCUGUUGGAGGACUUGAUCCUUUAGUGGCGCAGCUAACGCGUUAAGUUGACCGCCUGGGGAGUACGGCCGCAAGGUUAAAACUCAAAUGAAUUGACGGGGGCCCGCACAAGCGGUGGAGCAUGUGGUUUAAUUCGACGCAACGCGAAGAACCUUACCUACUCUUGACAUCCCCAGAACUUUCCAGAGAUGGAUUGGUGCUUCGGGAACUGAGUGACAGGUGCUGCAUGGCUGUCGUCAGCUCGUGUCGUGAGAUGUUGGGUUAAGUCCCGUAACGAGCGCAACCCUUGUCCUAUUUGUCAGCACGUAAUGGUGGGAACUUUAAGGAGACUGCCGGUGAUAAACCGGAGGAAGGUGGGGACGACGUCAAGUCAUCAAGGCCCUUAUGAGUAGGGCUACACACGUGCUACAAUGGCUGGUACAGAGGGCAGCCAA